rnacentral:rRNA from 1 species
UUUGAAGUGUGGACGCCAGUCUGCAUGGAGCCGGCCUUGAAAUACCACCCUUUAAUGUUUGAUGUUCUAACGUGGACCCGUGAUCCGGGUUGCGGACAGUGUCUGGUGGGUAGUUUGACUGGGGCGGUCUCCUCCUAAAGAGUAACGGAGGAGCACGAAGGUUGGCUAAUCCUGGUCGGACAUCAGGAGGUUAGUGCAAUGGCAUAAGCCAGCUUGACUGCGAGCGUGACGGCGCGAGCAGGUGCGAAAGCAGGUCAUAGUGAUCCGGUGGUUCUGAAUGGAAGGGCCAUCGCUCAACGGAUAAAAGGUACUCCGGGGAUAACAGGCUGAUACCGCCCAAGAGUUCAUAUCGACGGCGGUGUUUGGCACCUCGAUGUCGGCUCAUCACAUCCUGGGGCUGAAGUAGGUCCCAAGGGUAUGGCUGUUCGCCAUUUAAAGUGGUACGCGAGCUGGGUUUAGAACGUCGUGAGACAGUUCGGUCCCUAUCUGCCGUGGGCGCUGGAGAACUGAGGGGGGCUGCUCCUAGUACGAGAGGACCGGAGUGGACGCAUCACUGGUGUUCGGGUUGUCAUGCCAAUGGCACUGCCCGGUAGCUAAAUGCGGAAGAGAUAAGUGCUGAAAGCAUCUAAGCACGAAACUUGCCCCGAGAUGAGUUCUCCCUGACCCUUUAAGGGUCCUGAAGGAACGUUGAAGACGACGACGUUGAUAGGCCGGGUGUGUAAGCGCAGCGAUGCGUUGAGCUAACCGGUACUAAUGAACCGUGAGG